rnacentral:rRNA from 1 species
AAGCGGUGGAGCAUGUGGUUUAAUCGAGGCAACGCGAAGAACCUUACCAGGUCUUGACAUCCGAUGCUAUUUCUAGAGAUAGAAAGUUACUUCGGUACAUCGGUGACAGGUGGUGCAUGGUUGUCGUCAGCUCGUGUCGUGAGAUGUUGGGUUAAGUCCCGCAACGAGCGCAACCCCUAUUGUUAGUUGCCAUCAUUCAGUUGGGCACUCUAGCGAGACUGCCGGUAAUAAACCGGAGGAGGUGGGAUGACGUCAAAUCAUCAUGCCCCUUAUGACCUGGGCUACACACGUGCUACAAUGGUUGGUACAACGAGUUGCGAGUCGGUGACGGCGAGCUAAUCUCUUAAAGCCAAUCUCAGUUCGGAUUGUAGGCUGCAACUCGCCUACAUGAAGUCGGAAUCGCUAGUAAUCGCGGAUCAGCACGCCGCGGUGAAUACGUUCCCGGGCCUU